GCAGCUGGCGUGAUGGCUCAAGCACGGUAUCGACCGAUGGAGAGGGAGGUGGGGGCGUGCUCGACCUAUCAACAUAUGCAUGGCAUCUAUCUCGAGAAACUCUCAGUCGAUCCCUGCCUCUGGUCUUUUCAUGCUGAUCGACGUGCUGCUCAUUGGGUCAGUGCGACAUGUCUUCCAGCUCGCUCAUCCUUUGUAGUAUAGAUGCAUCAUCUACGGAGAGGUCGAAGUUCGAGAAACUAGGGUAUGAGAUGUGUUGGAAA
rnacentral:lncRNA from 1 species